rnacentral:lncRNA from 1 species
AUGUUCUGCCUUGCUAUCCCACACCUAUCUCUAAAUAAGUCAGGAACUGCUGUGGCGGGCCUCUGGAUAUCACAUACAAUGACAAAAAUAAACCGAUGCCUGACACGUAGGAGAACAAAUCCUCACCGGGGAUUUAAAAUAAGUGAUUAUGUCCUCCUUCAUUUUAUUCUUUUGUUCAGCCAGCGUGGCUUCUACUCCACAAAUAUAGGUGUGCAAGAAGUAGAUUUUCUUUGGUUUUCUAUAAAUGAGCUUACUCGUCCCAUCAGGGAGCAGAAGAUUGGUGUCAUCAAUAAAUCCAGGGCUUCCUUCCCUCGCUAUCCAAGUUCUGGAGGACUCAUGCAGAGUCUCCAUCAGAGUCUGGGAUGUCACCUGUCAUCAACCACACCUAUGCUUUUGCAGCAAAACUCAGGAGGAGUAAAAGUGAAAUAAAGACGAUCGACACUUUCACGGCAGCUCAGGCAGGAUUUGCCACCAAAUGAGGUUUAGCACCAAAAAGGGAAAAUUGUUGUUUUUCAUCAUUUUUGUUUGAGUAUUUCUUCUACAAUUACCCAGGAAGAAUGGAUCCAAAACCCAGAAUAUAAGACCCAAAAGAACCUGCCUGCACUAAGAGCCACCCCAACCAGGAAGGAUUCUGUGUUGGCAUCUACUCAAGUGCAGAGGGUCUGGGCUGUGACCUGCAGAGAGCUCCCAGCAUGAAUAGCAAAGCUUCCAGGAAGGUAAGUGCCAACUUUGUGAAUUCCCAUCAAUGCAGCAAGACAACUCCAAGGACUGACUUCACCUUCAGUCUUGUGCUAAGCAGUAAAGGUAAAACAGUGAAUACAGUUCUGGCCUGGCCAGCAUGGCAGGACAGAAAGUUUAGGUAAGUGAAACAAGACCCCAAAAGAUGGGUGAAACAAGGUCCCCCACAACCUGUGACCAUGUGAU